GAUGAACGCUGGCGGCGUGCUUAACACAUGCAAGUCGAACGAAGCACCUUAUUCUGAUUUCUUCGGAAUGAAAAAUUUGGUGACUGAGUGGCGGACGGGUGAGUAACGCGUGGGUAACCUGCCUCAUACAGGGGGAUAACAGUUAGAAAUGACUGCUAAUACCACAUAAGACCACAGCACCGCAUGGUGCAGGGGCAAAAACUCCGGUGGUAUGAGAUGGACCCGCGUCUGAUUAGGUAGUUGGUGGGGUAACGGCCUACCAAGCCGACGAUCAGUAGCCGACCUGAGAGGGUGACCGGCCACAUUGGGACUGAGACACGGCCCAAACUCCUACGGGAGGCAGCAGUGGGGAAUAUUGCACAAUGGGGGAAACCCUGAUGCAGCGACGCCGCGUGAGCGAUGAAGUAUUUCGGUAUGUAAAGCUCUAUCAGCAGGGAAGAAAAUGACGGUACCUGACUAAGAAGCACCGGCUAAAUACGUGCCAGCAGCCGCGGUAAUACGUAUGGUGCAAGCGUUAUCCGGAUUUACUGGGUGUAAAGGGAGCGUAGACGGAGUGGCAAGUCUGAUGUGAAAACCCGGGGCUCAACCCCGGGACUGCAUUGGAAACUGUCAAUCUGGAGUACCGGAGAGGUAAGCGGAAUUCCUAGUGUAGCGGUGAAAUGCGUAGAUAUUAGGAGGAACACCAGUGGCGAAGGCGGCUUACUGGACGGUAACUGACGUUGAGGCUCGAAAGCGUGNGGAGCAAACAGG
rnacentral:rRNA from 1 species